rnacentral:lncRNA from 1 species
CUGGCACCUUGGCACCUGACUGAAUUUGCUUUAUAUUUAAAUUUCAAGUCACAUAGCCGCCUUCUAGCUGGAGAGCUUCACAGUGCAAUCACAUGAGGCAGGCUGCUUCCACAUAAAACAACUUCAAAUAAUAUCUGUGAGAUGGGAGCCGGACUUUAAUAACUUUACCUUAAAAUAGACUCAUUGAGGAGAGCCUGGCCAAGCCUCAAAUGUCUACAUAAAGCUCUCCUCUCAACGUCAUGUAGUUGUAAGAAGAGAGAUUCUGGUGCAGUCCCCUGGGGUUAGCUGAUGAACAUGGACCAUAUGUUCCUGACUUUCUUCAGAGAUUACUGUGUGCAUUAUAUUGACAAACCAACUACCCAAAACAAUUCUGGAUAACUUUAUAUUACACCAACAGCUUGCUAAUGAGCCAUGGUAGCAGUUGCCAUAUUUUAGUAAUAUUUAUUAAAUUGUUAUGAGGCAUGAAACUGUAUUGGUUUAGCUCUGCGAUAAACUAGUUAAAAGCUAGAAGGUUUUAUUUUUGAAAAUAAUCAUUUGUAAUUGACGUUCCUGUAGUUUUUUUUUUUCCCCUCAUACGUGUUUUAAACACUUUUUCCUACUAUUGCUGAUAUUUACUCUGGGAAGACCAAAGAACAGAGCUCCUCAAACAUUGUCUUUGUUCGUGCUCUUUUAUAGGAUGCUCUUUGUAUGCUUCUUUGCUUGCUCAUCUACAGGACAAAGAGCAAGGUGGUAAAACAUAUGGUUAUGGGAAUGGCAUAGUCCCCAUGUGCUCCAGCCUCUGCUGAGAGGUAUAAAUGAGACAAUAAUAGUAAAGUGGCUCCAGAAUUAUUAUUAUAAUCUUGCUGGUCAUUCCAGUAGUUUUCCAAAAUACCUAAUAUAAAACAUUUGAUUACGGUAAAAAUGAAAUCCAGGUGCAACUCUUUAUUUAUUAUUCCCAAAGGCAUUUAAAAGGCUUCCAAUUUUGUGUAAUUGUUACAUAGUCCAAAACUGAGUCCAGAAAGGCUUCGCAUAUUAGUUAUGCUAAUUAGUUAUGCUGCCUCUCCUCAGACACACCUUUUUAAAUCAUUUCAUAUAAUUUAUAUCGAUGAGACUUAAGUUAAAAAACUUCCCUAUAUUUCAGUUUUCUCAUCUUUUAAAUUGUGAUCAUAAUUGUUUCUACCUGAUAAUUUAGGUCAAAUGAGAUAGUGCAGAUAGAGUUUUCCAAGUAAUAAAUGGUCAGAUACUGUAUGUCAAUUAAUAUUAACUAUUCUUAAAAGUGGUAAGUUCUUUACACAGUAAUAUGGUUUGGCUGUGUGCCCAACCAAAAUCUCAUCUUAAAUUGUAAUCCCCAUAAUCCCCACUGUCAAGGGAGACACCAGGUGGAGGUAAUUGAAUCAUGGGGGCAGUUUCUCCCCAUGCCGUUCUUGUGCUAGUGACUUCUCAUGAGAUCCAAUGGUUUUAUAAGGGGCUCUUCCCCCUUCACUCAUUCACUCUUCUCUUUCCUGCCACCAUAUGAAGAAGGUCUAUGCCCGCUUCCCCUUUCGCCAUGAUUGUGUGUUUCCUGAGCCUUCCCAGCCAUGUGGAAUUGUGAGUCAAUUAAACCUCUUUCCUUUAUAAAUUAGCCAGGCUUGGGUAUUUCUUCAUAGCAGCGUGAGAACGGACCGCUACACACGGCUUUACUAUUUUUACAAAAUGUAACAGCA